AGAGUUUGAUCCUGGCUCAGAUUGAACGCUGGCGGCAUGCUUUACACAUGCAAGUCGAACGGCAGCAUGGGUGCUUGCACCUGAUGGCGAGUGGCGAACGGGUGAGUAAUAUAUCGGAACAUGUCCGGAAGUGGGGGAUAACGUAGCGAAAGUUACGCUAAUACCGCAUAUGCCCUGAGGGGGAAAGGAGGGGAUCGUAAGACCUUUCGCUUUCGGAGUGGCCGAUAUCAGAUUAGCUAGUUGGUGAGGUAAAGGCUCACCAAGGCGACGAUCUGUAGCGGGUCUGAGAGGAUGAUCCGCCACACUGGGACUGAGACACGGCCCAGACUCCUACGGGAGGCAGCAGUGGGGAAUUUUGGACAAUGGGGGCAACCCUGAUCCAGCCAUGCCGCGUGAGUGAAGAAGGCCUUCGGGUUGUAAAGCUCUUUCGGACAGAAAGAAAUCGUGCAGUCCAAUACACUGCAUGGAUGACGCUCCCUCCUCUUUCUU
rnacentral:rRNA from 1 species